rnacentral:rRNA from 1 species
GUGUCAGCAGCCGCGGUAAUACGUAGGGUGCAAGCGUUGUCCGGAAUUAUUGGGCGUAAAGAGCUCGUAGGCGGUCUGUUACGUCGGCUGUGAAAACCUGGGGCUCAACCCCGGGCCUGCAGCCGAUACGGGCAGACUAGAAUUCGGUAGGGGAGACUGGAAUUCCUGGUGUAGCGGUGGAAUGCGCAGAUAUCAGGAGGAACACCGGUGGCGAAGGCGGGUCUCUGGGCCGACAUUGACGCUGAGGAGCGAAAGCGUGGGGAGCGAACAGGAUUAGAUACCCUGGUAGUCC